rnacentral:rRNA from 1 species
UACGAAGGGGGCUAGCGUUGCUCGGAAUCACUGGGCGUAAAGGGCGCGUAGGCGGGCUUUUAAGUCAGGGGUGAAAUCCUGGAGCUCAACUCCAGAACUGCCUUUGAUACUGAAGAUCUUGAGUUCGGGAGAGGUGAGUGGAACUGCGAGUGUAGAGGUGAAAUUCGUAGAUAUUCGCAAGAACACCAGUGGCGAAGGCGGCUCACUGGCCCGGUACUGACGCUGAGGCGCGAAAGCGUGGGGAGCAAACAGG